rnacentral:snRNA from 1 species
GGAUGAGAGGGCAAUCUGUGACAUCUGUCACCCCACUGGUCGCCAGGGUUGAUUAAGCUGAUUUGGCUGGCUAGGCAGGUGUCCCCUUCUUCCCUCACUGCUCCAUGUGCGUCCCUCCCAAAGCUGCACGCUCAGUGGAGGAAGAUGAUUUUCCUUGAUAAAGGAGGACCAUUCUUCGGUCAAGGGUAUAUCAGUAGCUGCGCUCCCCUGCUGGAACCUCCAAACAUGCAGCAUGUAACUAUUUUUAAAAUCCUACAGAUUUUUAUGCUUGUGUUUUCUUG